ensembl:snRNA U4 U4 spliceosomal RNA
AGCUUUGCACAGUGGCAGUAUCAUAGCCAACGAGGUUUAUCCGAGGCAUGAUUAUUGCUAAUUGAAAACUUCUCCAGGGGCUCCCGGGUGAUUCAGUCGGUUAAGCAUCUGACUUUGGCUCAGGUCAUGACCU